AUCGCAAAAGGCACUCUGGGUUCCUGCUUGCUCUGUCUUGGAUCAGUCGCUCUGGAGAAAGCCAGCCAUCAUGGCAAGAAGACACUCAAGCAGCCCAACAGGCAAGUCCAGGUGCUGAGGAACUGAGGCCCACAGCCGUGGGAGUGACCCCUGGGGAAGGGGAAUUCUCCAGCCCCAGCCAGGCCUUCAGAUGACUGCAGCUCUGGCCAGCUUCACUACAAAUCCCACGAGACUUUCUUUUAUUAUUCUCCCUUCUAGGUGUAGAUGUCAAUGUUUACCUGCUUCGUAAAAGAAAUAAGUUGUAACUCAAGCAUACAUCAAUACAGUAAACUUUUUAAAACUGAAAGAAAAGAAAAGACGUAAAGAAUGUUCUGAAAUGAUUUCUAGAACAUUGGGACUCUCUGUUCUUUAAAAGAUGUGAGAAACUUCUAUGAAACCAUCUGGACCCAGUGCUUUUUUCUGAGGUAUGAUUCAGGGCCAAAAGGAGAAGGGGGCAACAGAGGAUGAGAUGGUUAGAUAGCUUCACCAACUCAAUGGAAUUUGAGCAAACUCCUGGAGAUAGUGGAGGACAGAGGAUCCUGGUGUGCUACAGUCCAUGGGAUCACAAAGAGUCAAACAUGACUUACCGACUUAACAACAACAAUUCAGUGCAUUAGGAGAGCCAUGAAGAUCCAGUAUUUUACGCCUGUCAUGCCCAGACUGUAGAGCUUCUUGCCUGCAAGUGUGGGUUGUGUCGGGGAAGAGACGCCCAGUUCUCUUCUGCUGCACCUGCCUGGAGCAGAGCUUCAAUAACGAGAGGAUGAGAAACAUGGACCAUCUGCCUUUCUCAAGUGAGAAAGCUAAUUUUUUUUGCCUGCAUGUGUCAUGGAGUCUACAAAUAAGAUUGUGAUAUAAUCUGCUUUUCCUUGUGGUCCUAUAUAUAUACAUAUAUUCUAUUCUAUAGAAUAGAACCACAAGCACUGAAGAAUUGAUGCUUUUGAACUGUGCUGUUGGAGAAGACUCUUGACAGUCCCUUGGACUUCACAGAGAUGAAACCAGUCAAUUCUAAAGGAAAUCAACCCUGAAUAUUAAUUGGAAGGACUGUUUUUGAAGCUGAAGCUCCAAUUUUGGCUACCUGAUGGGAAGGGCUGACUCACUGGAAAAGACCCUGUUGCUGGGAAAGAUUGAAGGCAGAAAGAGAAGAGGGCAACAGAGGAUGAGUUGGUUGGAUGGCAUCACUGACUCAAUGAACAUGAAUCUGAGCAAGCUCCAGGAGUUGGUGAUGGAGAGGGAAGCCUGACAUGCUGCAGUCCAUGGGGUUGCAAAGAGUCGCACACGACUUGGUGACUGAACAACAAAUAUAUAGAAUAGAACCAUAUAUAUACAUAUAUAUCCUGUUGAUCUUUUUUAUUUUAUUUUAUUUUUAAACUUUACAAUAUUGUAUUAGUUUUGCCAAAUAUCGAAAUGAAUCCACCACAGGUAUACCUGUGUUCCCCAUCCUGAACCCUCCUCCCUCCUCCCUCCCCAUACCCUCCCUCUGGGUCGUCCCAGUGCACCAGCCCCAAGCAUCCAGUAUCGUGCAUCAAACCUGGACUGGCGACUCAUUUCAUACAUGAUAUUAUACAUGUUUCAAUGCCAUUCUCCCAAAUCUCCCCACCCUCUCCCUCUCCCACAGAGUCCAUAAGACUGAUCUAUAUAUCAGUGUCUCUUUUGCUGUCUCGUACACAGGGUUAUUGUUACCAUCUUUCUAAAUUCCAUAUAUAUGUGUUAGUAUACUGUAUUGGUGUUUUUCUUUCUGGCUUACUUCACUCUGUAUAAUAGGUUCCAGUUUCAUCCAUCUCAUUAGAACUGAUUCAAAUGUAUUCUUUUUAAUGGCUGAGUAAUACUCCAUUGUGUAUAUGUACCACAGUUUUCUUAUCCAUUCAUCUGCUGAUGGGCAUCUAGGUUGCUUCCAUGUCCUGGC
ensembl:lncRNA